UGUCUAUUUUGAAAGAUCAUCAGCAUGUGCACAAAUGUCUCCAUAUUGAUAUUUAAUUACAAAUAUGAGACUCCCUCUAUGAGUUAUAAUACGCAGGUGAUCGUCAAAGCCCGUGGGCCUCUGGGUGUAGCUUGAUUAAUCUUUAGGUUUUGUUUUGCAGGUGACAUAAAACUAUGAUAUGAAAUAAAAGAAUUGCAUCCACUACCGAGCAAAAAUUGAACUGGAAUGGAAGAGAAUACGUGAAAUGGUGUAAGAACUUGACCAGGUCUUCAAGGAAAGAGAAGAAAAUCAUAUCAAAGUUCAGAAACCUUUCAUAGUUUUAGGAGCCCGAGUCGUAGUGACACUCUUAUCGAGAUAUCUGAAGCCAUUUGAGAGAACUCGACUAUCGUGCAAACAAUUGCGUGAAAGGGGCCACAUAACAACUGCAGUGCUCUAUAAUAUGCUGGAAUGAUGAUCAAGAAUCUUGACUACAUUUCAAAACGAGACUGUGUGAUUAGACUUGCCAUUUCCAUAAUUAUUUUGGUAUGGAUAAGAGCCAUAUUCCCUUGUCAUUCAUCAGGGUACUUAUGAUGCCAAAACGGACUUCUGACAGGGAACCGGAGGGACAAUGUGGGCGAAAAGUCAACAUAUUUUAUGCAGAUAUUUGGAUAAUUAAAAAUGAUGUAGAUAUUCCA